rnacentral:rRNA from 1 species
GACGAACGCUGGCGGCGUGCUUAACACAUGCAAGUCGAACGGAAAGGCCCUGCAUUUGUGGGGUGCUCGAGUGGCGAACGGGUGAGUAACACGUGAGUAACCUGCCCUUGACUUUGGGAUAACUUCAGGAAACUGGGGCUAAUACCGGAUAGGAGCUCCUGCUGCAUGGUGGGGGUUGGAAAGUUUCGGCGGUUGGGGAUUGACUCGCGGCUUAUCAGCUUGUUGGUGGGGUAGUGGCUUACCAAGGCUUUGACGGGUAGCCGGCCUGAGAGGGUGACCGGCCACAUUGGGACUGAGACUCGGCCCCGACUCCUACGGGAGGCAGCAGUGGGAAAUAUUGCACAAUGAGCGGAAGCCUGAUGCAGCAACGCCGCGUGCGGGAUAACGGCCUUCGGGUUGUAAACCACUUUCGCCUGUGACGAAGCGUGAGUGACGGUAAUGGGUAAAGAAGCACCGGCUAACUACGUG